GCUUAACGCGAAGAACCUUACCAAGGCUUGACAUACACCGGAAACAUCCAGAGAUGGGUGACCCCCUUGUGGUCGGUGUACAGGUGGUGCAUGGCUGUCGUCAGCUCGUGUCGUGAGAUGUUGGGUUAAGUCCCGCAACGAGCGCAACCCUUGUCCCGUGUUGCCAGCAGGCCCUUGUGGUGCUGGGGACUCACGGGAGACCGCCGGGGUCAACUCCGGGGGAAGGUGGGGACGACGUCAAGUCAUCAUGCCCCCUUAUGUCUUGGGCUGCAUACGUGCUACAAUGGCCGGUACAAUGAGCUGCGAUACCGUGAGGUGGAGCGAAUCUUAAAAAGCCGGUCUCAGUUCGGAUUGGGGUCUGCAACUCGACCCCAUGAAGUCGGAGUCGCUAGUAAUCGCAGAUCAGCAUUGCUGCGGUGAAUACGUUCCCGGGUCUUGUACACACCG
rnacentral:rRNA from 1 species